AACGGGUGAGUAACACGUGAGUAACCUGCCCUUGACUCUGGGAUAAGCCUGGGAAACUGGGUCUAAUACCGGAUAGGAACGUCCACCGCAUGGUGGGUGUUGGAAAGAUUUAUCGGUCAUGGAUGGACUCGCGGCCUAUCAGCUUGUUGGUGAGGUAAUGGCUCACCAAGGCGACGACGGGUAGCCGGCCUGAGAGGGUGACCGGCCACACUGGGACUGAGACACGGCCCAGACUCCUACGGGAGGCAGCAGUGGGGAAUAUUGCACAAUGGGCGAAAGCCUGAUGCAGCGACGCCGCGUGAGGGAUGACGGCCUUCGGGUUGUAAACCUCUUUCAGUAGGGAAGAAGCGAAAGUGACGGUACCUGCAGAAGAAGCACCGGCUAACUACGUGCCAGCAGCCGCGGUAAUACGUAGGGUGCGAGCGUUAUCCGGAAUUAUUGGGCGUAAAGAGCUCGUAGGCGGUUUGUCACGUCUGUCGUGAAAGUCCGGGGCUUAACCCCGGAUCUGCGGUGGGUACGGGCAGACUAGAGUGCAGUAGGGGAGACUGGAAUUCCUGGUGUAGCGGUGGAAUGCGCAGAUAUCAGGAGGAACACCGAUGGCGAAGGCAGGUCUCUGGGCUGUAACUGACGCUGAGGAGCGAAAGCAUGGGGAGCGAACAGGAUUAGAUACCCUGGUAGUCCAUGCCGUAAACGUUGGGCACUAGGUGUGGGGACCAUUCCACGGUUUCCGCGCCGCAGCUAACGCAUUAAGUGCCCCGCCUGGG
rnacentral:rRNA from 1 species